rnacentral:rRNA from 1 species
GAUGAACGCUGGCGGCGUGCCUAAUACAUGCAAGUCGAGCGAACAGACGAGGAGCUUGCUCCUCUGACGUUAGCGGCGGACGGGUGAGUAACACGUGGAUAACCUACCUAUAAGACUGGGAUAACUUCGGGAAACCGGAGCUAAUACCGUAUAAUAUAUUGAACCGCAUGGUUCAAUAGUGAAACACGGUUUUGCUGUCACUUAUAGAUGGAUCCGCGCCGCAUUAGCUAGUUGGUAAGGUAACGGCUUACCAAGGCAACGAUGCGUAGCCGACCUGAGAGGGUGAUCGGCCACACUGGAACUGAGACACGGUCCAGACUCCUACGGGAGGCAGCAGUAGGGAAUCUUCCGCAAUGGGCGAAAGCUUGACGGAGCAACGCCGCGUGAGUGAUGAAGGUCUUCGGAUCGUAAAACUCUGUUAUUAGGGAAGAACAAAUGUGUAAGUAACUAUGCACGUCUUGACGGUACCUAAUCAGAAAGCCACGGCUAACUACGUG